ensembl:rRNA 5S_rRNA 5S ribosomal RNA
GCCAGCAGCCAUAUCACCCUGCGACUCACAACUGGCAACCCACUGAAGCUUAGCAGGUGUGAGCCUGGUCAGUACCUGGAUGGGAGACCUCCUGGAAAAAACUAAGGUUGCUGCUGGAA